rnacentral:rRNA from 1 species
UUGUCUAGUGUUUAAAGAUAGUCGGCAAAACCUUCAUCCAUUCCGAAUUGAAGUGUUAAACGAUUAUCCCAUAACGAUACUCUAAGAGCCAUCUUUGGGAAAAAUAGUGGAAUGCUAGAUAU